UGUUGUGUUAUUUCACCGGUUUUAAAGAUGGAUCUCACUGGGAAGGGUAUUCGUCAAGGAUUCAUUGACUUCUUUAGGAAUAAAAAAGGUUUAGAGCAUGAAUUUGUUCCGUCUAACUCUGUUGUCCCAUUAGACGAUCCUACACUAUUAUUUACCAAUGCUGGCAUGAAUCAGUUCAAACCAAUCUUCCAAGGGGUAGUGGACCCCAACAGUGAUAUGGCCAAAUGGGUGCGUGUGGCCAACAGUCAGAAAUGUAUCCGUGCCGGUGGAAAACACAACGACUUGGAUGAUGUCGGUAAGGAUGUCUAUCAUCACACGUUCUUUGAAAUGCUGGGUAAUUGGUCGUUUGGAGACUACUUCAAAAAAGAAGUCUGUGAAAUGGCGUGGGAGUUGUUAACAGACGUCUGGAAGCUUCCAAAGGAGAGACUGUAUGUGACAUAUUUUGGUGGCGAUGAAAAAAUGGGAUUAGGUCCGGAUGAGGAAUGCAAACAAAUAUGGAUUGAUAUUGGAUUACCUCCUGAAAGAGUUCUUCCUUUUAGCAUGAGGGAUAAUUUUUGGGAGAUGGGUGACGUUGGUCCAUGCGGCCCUUGUUCGGAGAUACACUUUGAUCGGAUAGGUGGACGCGAUGCUACACAUCUAGUUAAUAUGGAUGAUCCGAAUGUCUUAGAACUCUGGAAUCUUGUUUUUAUGCAAUUCAACAGAGAGCCUGAUGGCUCGAUACGACCAUUACCGAAAAAAAACAUUGACUGUGGAAUGGGACUAGAGAGGGUAAUCUCGGUUUUACAGGGGAAAAUGUCAAAUUAUGACACUGAUAUUUUCACACCGUUUUUUGAUGCCAUACACAAGGGCACUGGUGUGAGAGAAUACCAAGGUAAGGUUGGUAGUGAAGAUACCGAUGGUAUUGAUAUGGCAUACAGAGUUGUUGCAGAUCACAUACGAACACUGACGAUAGCUAUAUCUGACGGUGGAAGACCAGAUAAUGUUGGAAGAGGGUAUGUGUUGAGACGAGUGUUACGUCGUGGUGUGAGAUAUGCUACUGAGAAACUGAAUGCACCCAGUGGUUUCUUUGCUAGUCUGGUGCAGGUGGUCCUGGACACACUGGGAGAUGCAUUCCCCGGCAUUAAGAAAGACCCUCAAUUAGUGAUAGAUAUCAUCAAUGAAGAAGAAGCUCAAUUUCUGAAGACUUUAAACCGAGGUCAUAGAGUUCUACAGAGAACAAUAAAUAAAUUGGAAACCAAGGUUCUGCCAGGUAAAGCUGCCUGGUUGCUAUAUGAUACAUAUGGUUUCCCAGUUGACCUGACACAACUCAUGGCUGAAGAAAACGGUCUUAACAUUGAUAUGGGUGAAUAUGAGGAAGAAAAGAAAAAAAAGCUCAGGUUUUAAAUUUGUUUGCAGCUGUUAUCCCAAGGUAAAGGAUCUGGUGUGGAUGAUACAAUAGGACUGGACGUACAUGCCAUCAGUGAGCUGCAAGAUACAAGAAAGGUCUCUGCCACGGAUGAUUCACCAAAAUAUAGCUAUACAUAUGAUGAACAGAACUCCAAAUACGUAUUCAAUGCGAUAGUUGCUACGGUGAUAGCACUGAGGAAAGACAAGCAGUUUGUGAGUGAAGUGGACAAUGGGGACGAGUGCGGUAUGUUGUUAGAUAAGACGUGUUUCUAUGCUGAACAAGGUGGUCAAAUAUGGGAUGAAGGAUUCAUGGAAAAAGAAAAUAAUCCAGAUAUUGAAUUCAAAGUGACCAACGUCCAAGUUAAAGGUGGCUACAUUUUACAUAUCGGUAAAUUAUCUGCUGUGGACAGCGAAGGAAAACUAAAAGUUGGUGAUAAAAUGAAACUUUAUAUUGAUGAAGCUCGUCGUCGACCUAUCAUGAGUAACCAUACUGGUACCCAUAUGCUGAACUACGCCUUGAGAAAAGUUCUUGGAGAGGCUGAUCAGAAAGGUUCCUUAGUAGCACCAGACAAGCUACGAUUCGAUUUUACUGCCAAGGGUGCCAUGACAACGGAGCAAGUGCAAUCAGCAGAGCAAAUCACUAAUGAAAUGGUGCAGAAAUCGCAACCAGUCUAUGCUAAAAAUUCCCCCUUAGCCGUUGCCAAGGCGAUCCAGGGAUUGCGUGCAGUCUUUGAUGAGGUGUACCCCGAUCCAGUACGAGUCAUAUCUAUAGGUAUACCAGUUGAAGAUAUGGAAGCUGAUCCAUCCGGUCCAGCUGGAGCAACAACUUCCAUCGAAUUCUGUGGUGGAACCCAUCUUCUAAAUAGUGGUCACAUCGGUCCAUUUGUCAUUGUAACAGAAGAGGCCAUAGCGAAAGGAAUACGACGUAUUGUAGCCAUCACUGGUGAUGACGCACAAAAGGCAAUAAAUCGUGCUGAUAUGCUUGAAGAAGAAAUAGACAAGCUGACACAGAAAAUAAAAGACAAUAGUACGAAGCAGGUGUAUAUGCCAAAAGAACUUAGUAAAGAAAUUGUGUCAAUUGGUGAUGAUCUGAAUGUAGCAAUUGUGCCGCAAUGGAGAAAAGAUGGGAUGAGAAAAAAAUUAAAAGAUUUGAAGAAAAUUAUGGACGACUUGGACAAAGCCAGAAAAGCAGCCAUAAUACAAAAUGUGAAAGAGAUGACCAAGAAGUUGAUAGAAGAGAAACCGAACCAACCAUUAGUUGUCAUGACACUAGAUGCAGAUUCCAACUCUAAAGCGUUAGAUGCUGCGUUGAAAGAAUACCGUAACUUAUCACCGCAGACUGCUGCUAUGUUGUUUAGUGUGGAUCGAGAAAACAGGAAAAUUAUAUGUCUCUGCCAUGUGCCCCAGGAAGGAAUUGCUAAAGGUCUGAAAGCCGGGGAGUGGGUCAGGCACGUAUCAAGCUCACUGAAUGGCAAAGGAGGUGGCAAAGACUCGUCUGCACAGGCAUCCGGUGAUAAUAUUAAUGGCUUGGAUGAAGCGAGUAAACUUGCAAAAGAGUUUGCGGAACUGAAACUGAAAUAAUGGCUGCUUACAAUUCACAGAGGAUGAAGCUUUGUUCCCGUAAUACUUAACACUUCCUGUCAAUCAAAGUAUAUCAAAAAACAACUUUCAUGUGAAUAAUGAUAAUGCUUCAUUUUUGAGAUGAAAUAAAACUAACAGUAAUUAACUAUCACAAUGUAAGAAAAUAUUCUCAGAAACUUUAAAGUAAUUCCAAUUUAUUCAUAUUACCCAGUAAUAUUACUGGUACUGUCACAUUAAAGUGAAAGUUUGAGACAUAAAAAUUAAUAAAAUAUAUGUAAAUUAAUA